CUUAUCCACUUCUGUAAUAAACAACAAACACGUUGAACUUGCCGAUUCACAUCAGCACCACCAACUAGCGACAGAAACCUGUUACUUAUGCAAAAUGGAGGAACAAAAGAAAAUAUAUUUUAAAUUUAGCACUUACCUUUUGCAGCGUAGCAUUAGUAUACUGGAUAAUUUGUAUACUUCUCCUUCAGCAUCUAACCAACAAUUAUGUUUAUUCAAUAGAGCAGAACAAUUCACAAUUAAUUCUCAAUAACUUUCAAUGAUUCAUCAUGUACCAAAUUUUUUACACUAUCCCUACAUACAGAACUAUUUUGGCUGGAACCAGUGCAAGAGCGUGGAGUUUUGGUUUGCUCUAAUGCAUUGAGUUCACAAAGCUAACCAGAAUCGCAAUCAAAGGAAGUGGUGCCAUAAACAGCAGGGGCCAAGAAUGGUUGAUAUAUUCAGAUCUAAAUGACGAUGAUGACAGCAGCGGCGCUGUAAGACAGACAUCGCCAUCUAAUUACGUCCUAGCUACUUAGACACAGGUGAAAAACAAUUCUAGUUGCUCACCUAGCUAGGUGCUUCUAGCAGUACUAUGUGGAGCUAGAUAGGACGAUGCUGCCACAGACUAAACCACUGGGUAUACAGAUUCUACCUUGAGAUAAGCCAAAGUAUCCACGAGUAAUUCCAGUAGUACAUUUAUGUAGUACUUACAUUAAUGCCUUUAUCACUCUAUAUCUGUUUCUCCUACAAGAAAAGGGUUUGGUAAUAUGAAGAUGCAUGGAAAAAGAAAACAUCAUUAAGGAAGCAUAUGCUAGCUAUUAAUUCUCCAACUUGAACAAGAUAUAAAAUUACCUCACAGUAAUUCCAUAUUGGUUCUAGUGGCGUCUAUAUGCUAAGUGCCAAGCUCUCAUUUGAGUUACAAUGAUCUUAGUUUCCACAA
rnacentral:lncRNA from 1 species